UGCAAGUCGAGUGCGCGUGCCGUAGCAAUACGGUAUGGCGCACGGCGCACGGGUGCGUAACACGUGGGCAAUCUGCCCUUCGAUGGGGAAUAACUCCGGGAAACCGAAGCUAAUUCCGCAUAACAUUCCCUGGACUCCGGUUUGGGGAUUCAAAGCAGCAAUGCGUCGAAGGAGGAGCCCGCGCCCGAUUAGCUAGUUGGUAGGGUAACGGCCUACCAAGGCUUUGAUCGGUAGCUGGUCUGAGAGGAUGGCCAGCCACACUGGAACUGAGACACGGUCCAGACUCCUACGGGAGGCAGCAGUGGGGAAUCUUGCGCAAUGGGCGAAAGCCUGACGCAGCGACGCCGCGUGGGGGAUGAAGCUUCUCGGAGUGUAAACCCCUUUCGACUGGGACGAAUGCCUCGCAAGAGGAGUGACGGUACCAGUAGAAGAAGCCCCGGCUAACUACGUGCCAGCAGCCGCGGUAAGACGUAGGGGGCCAGCGUUGUUCGGAAUUACUGGGUGUAAAGGGUUCGUAGGCGGUGUGGCAAGUCGGGAGUGAAAUUUCUGGGCUUAACCCAGAACCUGCUUCCGAAACUGCUGUGCUCGAGUGUGGGAGAGGCGCGUGGAAUUGCAGGUGUAGCGGUGAAAUGCGUAGAUAUCUGCAGGAACACCCGUGGCGAANGCGGCGCGCUGGACCACUACUGACGCUGAGGAACGAAAGCUAGGGGAGCAAACAGGAUUAGAUACCCUGGUAGUCCUAGCCCUAAACGAUCAGGACUUGGGGUGCCACCCGUUCGGGUGUCGUCCCGGAGCUAACGCGUUAAGUCCUGCACCUGGGGAGUACGGUCGCAAGACUGAAACUCAAAGGAAUUGACGGGGGCCCGCACAAGCGGUGGAA
rnacentral:rRNA from 1 species